GACGAACCGUGCGAACGUUGUUCGGAAUCACUGGGCGUAAAGGGCGCGUAGGCGGCGUGUCAAGUCAGGCGUGAAAGCCCCGGGCUCAACCUGGGAACCGCGCUUGAGACUGGCAUGCUCGAGUUCGGGAGAGGAUGGUGGAAUUCCCAGUGUAGAGGUGAAAUUCGUAGAUAUUGGGAAGAACACCGAUGGUGAAGGCAGCCAUCUGGACCGACACUGACGCUGAGGCGCGAAAGCGUGGGGAGCAAACAGG
rnacentral:rRNA from 1 species